rnacentral:misc_RNA from 1 species
GAUGAAGAACGUAGCGAAAUGUGAUAAGUAAUGUGAAUUGCAGAAUUCAGUGAAUCAUCGAAUCUUUGAACGCACCUUGCGCUCCUUGGUAUUCCGAGGAGCAUGCCUGUUCGAGUGUCAUGAAAUUCUCAACCUUUCUGGCUUUUGCUAGUCAGGCUUGGAUUAUGGGAGCUGCUGGCUUUUGAAGUCGGCUCUUCUAAAAUGUAUUAGCAAGAUCAUUGCUGCUCAUCAUUGGUAUGAUAAUUAUCUAUAUCAUUGAGAGUCAGUUUCCUUUAUUGGAAGAUUUUGCUCCUAACGGUCUUUAGCAAGACAACAUUUGACGAUUUUGACCUCAAAUCAGGUAGGACUACCCGCUGAACUUAAGCAUAUCAAUAAGCGGAGGA